GUAAUAUUUCAGGUACAAAUUCUACUAGUACGAUUCGAUGCAGUGGAAGAGGUUGAAGUUGACGUUUAAGCAGUCACCCUGCCGAACAAGAAAUCAGUCAGGCAAAGAGGCUAGGUUGACUAGAAACUCAAUCACUGUAUCCGUGGAACUUGCCGGAAGCUAUCUGAGUUAUUUUACCUCCUUAUUUCAAAUGACCUCCAAACCAAUUACAUUGAAGAGGAGUAUAGGUAAUCAGACACUAAAGAGGACCAAUUAUUCUAUGUUCUACAUCUUCAAUGAUGAAUAAAGAUCUCGGAUUGCUUCUACUAAUGCAUGAUGUGUUAAAAUGAAAGAGAAAGAGAAACCACUCAUUUAUGAUUUACUUUUAGUAUUAUGUCUUUCACUGUUUUGACAAUGAUAUUGAAGUUGAUCUUAAAAACUGACUAUGAACCCUUGCUAAAUGAUUUGCGAAGGUGUUAGGGCUAAAUAUGCCUGUAGACAUCACUUUCAGUGAUUUUUAUGAAAUCAAUGAUUAGGGUAUAUUUUGGGACUGAAAUAAGCGCAAGACCUUCGACGUUUCUAUUGCUACUGUUUUUUUAAUUUAGCAAAUAUACAAACAAAUUUUAUACUGUCGUAAAGAUAAAAUAUUUAGUUAUCGGAUAGAGACUUGAAAAUUAAGUAUUACAAUAACUAAGCUAAAAUAUUCAAUGUUAAACUCAAAAAUUUUCACGCGUUUAUGAAGAAAUAUUUAGUUCUGCGCGUAGUUUUUUGGUCACAUCUACGGCAAAUUUUCGCCAAUUUUGUUCAUAAUUUCAAAAUGUUAUUUAGUAGACAAAUUACUUUCGGACUACA